AGAGUUUGAUCCUGGCUCAGGACGAACGCUGGCGGCGUGCUUAACACAUGCAAGUCGAACGGAAAGGCCCUUCGGGGUACUCGAGAGGCGAACGGGUGAGUAACACGUGGGUGAUCUGCCCUGCACUUUGGGAUAAGCCUGGGAAACUGGGUCUAAUACCGAAUAUGACCAUGCACUUCCUGGUGUGUGGUGGAAAGCUUUUGCGGUGUGGGAUGGGCCCGCGGCCUAUCAGCUUGUUGGUGGGGUAAUGGCCUACCAAGGCGACGACGGGUAGCCGGCCUGAGAGGGUGACCGGCCACACUGGGACUGAGAUACGGCCCAGACUCCUACGGGAGGCAGCAGUGGGGAAUAUUGCACAAUGGGCGCAAGCCUGAUGCAGCGACGCCGCGUGAGGGAUGACGGCCUUCGGGUUGUAAACCUCUUUCAGCACAGACGAAGCGCGAGUGACGGUAUGUGCAGAAGAAGGACCGGCCAACUACGUGCCAGCAGCCGCGGUAAUACGUAGGGUCCGAGCGUUGUCCGGAAUUACUGGGCGUAAAGAGCUCGUAGGUGGUUUGUCGCGUUGUUCGUGAAAACUCACAGCUUAACUGUGGGCGUGCGGGCGAUACGGGCAGACUGGAGUACUGCAGGGGAGACUGGAAUUCCUGGUGUAGCGGUGGAAUGCGCAGAUAUCAGGAGGAACACCGGUGGCGAAGGCGGGUCUCUGGGCAGUAACUGACGCUGAGGAGCGAAAGCGUGGGGAGCGAACAGGAUUAGAUACCCUGGUAGUCC
rnacentral:rRNA from 1 species